GAUUACAAUUUCUAGGAACAAAAGAAAAUUUGAUAAACUGAAAAGAAGCGGAUAGAUCGAGGAUAACAAAGAUGAUCCCGUGAAGUUCCUUAGGCGGAUCCUCCGAAUUUAUGGCUUCGAUUAAUUGCUUGCAAUCUGAAGCGACAGAGAUUUGGGGGAAACCCAGGUUUGAGGCAUCUUGUAGUGCGUGGAGGAUGGUGAUCGCCUCCACUAUGAGUGGUGAUCGAACGAAGUUACUAAUCGUCGAUCAUGUGCAGUUCUGUCCGAUAUGGCUAUUACUGAAGGUCCAACCACAGCCCGCUUGCUUAGUCUCCUUGUUCCACAUUGCGUCGUCGUGACAGAUCACAACCUCUCUGGCCAUCGGUUGGGGAAAAUCGUUGAUCAUUCUGGGUGUAUGAGAUUCAGGUAGUUCUUGAGCUUCACACCAUUCCCUUCCCACCUUGAGAGCGUAGUUCAGGGUUUCCUCUAAAGAAUAUGAAAAAGUUUCUGAAGAUUUUAUGGUUUCGAGAGAUCCAGAUCGACCAUAGUAUCCAUGGGUGUGGUCCUACGCUCAUUCCGCUAGGGGGAAGGCAGAUCCACAGCUUGGCUGUUUCGAUUACGGCUCGUAGGGAUUGUAGAGUGCUAAAAUCCACAGGGCGUUGGAAAGGAGCGAUUCUCCAGAUCUGUUGGGCAAAUCGGCAAGUGAUGAAGAGGUGGUCACUGGUUUCCGACUCCCCACAGAAAGGGAAAAUGGAAUCUGUUCUUAUGCUUCGUUUCCUUAAGUUCUCUCCCGUGGGUAGAGCCCCCUUCAUACCUUUCCAGAGCAGGAGCUUAUUCUUUGGAGAUGUUGAGAGGUUCCAUAUGUCACUUACCCAGUUGAAGUUUCUGAUGGGAGUAAGGGCUUGUACCUGCGUCGGAUGAUUCAACUUGAUGCUGUCAUAGUAGCCUGAUUUAGUCGUAUAGACUCCAUUCUUAGUUGGUAUCCACGUAAAGUCUUUUGUGGAUGGUGAGAUCAAGGUCGCCAUUGUGUUAUGUUGAGUCUCCUUCGUUGGUGGUCCCAUUGGGGUUUGUGGGGAUUCCAGAGAGAUCCACGGUUCACUCCACAGGGGCGUCUGGUGGCCAUUACCAAUUACCUUUGCGAGCUGUUUCUCGAGCAGUGUUUUUCCUAUGCAAAUUCCACGCCAUCCAUGGGAAGUAUUAACCAGGGGUAUACUCUGUAAGAAGGGAGUGGAGUGGCAGUAUCUUCCUAGGAGGAUUCGAGCCAUUAGGCAAUUAGGAGAGGUUUGCCCAUGAUAUCCAGCACAUCUUUGUUUUUCUGUAGACGAGUCCCACCAGAAUCUUGUCAACACCGACUGGAUGCGCUUGCACAGGGAUCCCGGAACUUUGAGGACCAGCUCCGUGCCUUUUGUCUGAUCUUAUCCACUAUGCUAGUGAAUAGAUCCCUUUUCUUUUUGUCAAACAGUUCAGGGAGUCCUAGAAGAACAUGGUGUCGUCUGCAAACAGGAGAUGGUUUAGCCUUGGGCUCUUCUUGCCUAGUUUGAUUCCUGUCAUUUUUCCUUCCGCUUGAGCUUUUUUACACAGGCCUGACAGCACUUUGCUGCAUAGUAUGAAGAUAAACGGUGAUAGCGGGUCCCCUUGCCUAAUACCACGUUGUGGUAGGACCAUUCCCUGAGCUGCUCCAUUUAUCAGGUAAGAGUAGGAUACAGUUGUUAGGCAUUGCAUUAUCCUGUUUAUCCACUGUAACAUCCGUGAACCGGAAUCCCAGUUUGGGAUGUGCAUCGAUCGAUGCAGGUGGAGCAUCGGUCGAUGC